AGAGUUUGAUCCUGGCUCAGGACGAACGCUGGCGGCGUGCCUAAUACAUGCAAGUCGAGCGAGCGGAACCAACAGAUUUGCUUCGGUAAUGACGUUGGGAAAGCGAGCGGCGGAUGGGUGAGUAACACGUGGGGAACCUGCCCCUAAGUCUGGGAUACCAUUUGGAAACAGGUGCUAAUACCGGAUAAUAAAGCAGAUCGCAUGAUCAGCUUUUGAAAGGCGGCGUAAGCUGUCGCUAAGGGAUGGCCCCGCGGUGCAUUAGCUAGUUGGUAAGGUAACGGCUUACCAAGGCGACGAUGCAUAGCCGAGUUGAGAGACUGAUCGGCCACAUUGGGACUGAGACACGGCCCAAACUCCUACGGGAGGCAGCAGUAGGGAAUCUUCCACAAUGGACGCAAGUCUGAUGGAGCAACGCCGCGUGAGUGAAGAAGGUUUUCGGGAUCGUAAAGCUCUGUUGUUGGUGAAGAAGGAUAGAGGUAGUAACUGGCCUUUAUUUGACGGUAAUCAACCAGAAAGUCACGGCUAACUACGUGCCAGCAGCCGCGGUAAAUACGUAGG
rnacentral:rRNA from 1 species